GGGUUGUGAGGUUAAGCGACUAAGCGUACACGGUGGAUGCCCUGGCAGUCAGAGGCGAUGAAGGACGUGCUAAUCUGCGAUAAGCGUCGGUAAGGUGAUAUGAACCGUUAUAACCGGCGAUUUCCGAAUGGGGAAACCCAGUGUGUUUCGACACACUAUCAUUAACUGAAUCCAUAGGUUAAUGAGGCGAACCGGGGGAACUGAAACAUCUAAGUACCCCGAGGAAAAGAAAUCAACCGAGAUUCCCCCAGUAGCGGCGAGCGAACGGGGAGCAGCCCAGAGCCUGAAUCAGUGUGUGUGUUAGUGGAAGCGUCUGGAAAGGCGCGCGAUACAGGGUGACAGCCCCGUACACAAAAAUGCACAUGCUGUGAGCUCGAUGAGUAGGGCGGGACACGUGGUAUCCUGUCUGAAUAUGGGGGGACCAUCCUCCAAGGCUAAAUACUCCUGACUGACCGAUAGUGAACCAGUACCGUGAGGGAAAGGCGAAAAGAACCCCGGCGAGGGGAGUGAAAAAGAACCUGAAACCGUGUACGUACAAGCAGUGGGAGCACGCUUAGGCGUGUGACUGCGUACCUUUUGUAUAAUGGGUCAGCGACUUAUAUUCUGUAGCAAGGUUAACCGAAUAGGGGAGCCGAAGGGAAACCGAGUCUUAACUGGGCGUUAAGUUGCAGGGUAUAGACCCGAAACCCGGUGAUCUAGCCAUGGGCAGGUUGAAGGUUGGGUAACACUAACUGGAGGACCGAACCGACUAAUGUUGAAAAAUUAGCGGAUGACUUGUGGCUGGGGGUGAAAGGCCAAUCAAACCGGGAGAUAGCUGGUUCUCCCCGAAAGCUAUUUAGGUAGCGCCUCGUGAAUUCAUCUCCGGGGGUAGAGCACUGUUUCGGCAAGGGGGUCAUCCCGACUUACCAACCCGAUGCAAACUACGAAUACCGGAGAAUGUUAUCACGGGAGACACACGGCGGGUGCUAACGUCCGUCGUGAAGAGGGAAACAACCCAGACCGCCAGCUAAGGUCCCAAAGUCAUGGUUAAGUGGGAAACGAUGUGGGAAGGCCCAGACAGCCAGGAUGUUGGCUUAGAAGCAGCCAUCAUUUAAAGAAAGCGUAAUAGCUCACUGGUCGAGUCGGCCUGCGCGGAAGAUGUAACGGGGCUAAACCAUGCACCGAAGCUGCGGCAGCGACGCUGAUGCGUUGUUGGGUAGGGGAGCGUUCUGUAAGCCUGCGAAGGUGUGCUGUGAGGCAUGCUGGAGGUAUCAGAAGUGCGAAUGCUGACAUAAGUAACGAUAAAGCGGGUGAAAAGCCCGCUCGCCGGAAGACCAAGGGUUCCUGUCCAACGUUAAUCGGGGCAGGGUGAGUCGACCCCUAAGGCGAGGCCGAAAGGCGUAGUCGAUGGGAAACAGGUUAAUAUUCCUGUACUUGGUGUUACUGCGAAGGGGGGACGGAGAAGGCUAUGUUGGCCGGGCGACGGUUGUCCCGGUUUAAGCGUGUAGGCUGGUUUUCCAGGCAAAUCCGGAAAAUCAAGGCUGAGGCGUGAUGACGAGGCACUACGGUGCUGAAGCAACAAAUGCCCUGCUUCCAGGAAAAGCCUCUAAGCAUCAGGUAACAUCAAAUCGUACCCCAAACCGACACAGGUGGUCAGGUAGAGAAUACCAAGGCGCUUGAGAGAACUCGGGUGAAGGAACUAGGCAAAAUGGUGCCGUAACUUCGGGAGAAGGCACGCUGAUAUGUAGGUGAAGUCCCUCGCGGAUGGAGCUGAAAUCAGUCGAAGAUACCAGCUGGCUGCAACUGUUUAUUAAAAACACAGCACUGUGCAAACACGAAAGUGGACGUAUACGGUGUGACGCCUGCCCGGUGCCGGAAGGUUAAUUGAUGGGGUCAGCGCAAGCGAAGCUCUUGAUCGAAGCCCCGGUAAACGGCGGCCGUAACUAUAACGGUCCUAAGGUAGCGAAAUUCCUUGUCGGGUAAGUUCCGACCUGCACGAAUGGCGUAAUGAUGGCCAGGCUGUCUCCACCCGAGACUCAGUGAAAUUGAACUCGCUGUGAAGAUGCAGUGUACCCGCGGCAAGACGGAAAGACCCCGUGAACCUUUACUAUAGCUUGACACUGAACAUUGAGCCUUGAUGUGUAGGAUAGGUGGGAGGCUUUGAAGUGUGGACGCCAGUCUGCAUGGAGCCGACCUUGAAAUACCACCCUUUAAUGUUUGAUGUUCUAACGUUGACCCGUAAUCCGGGUUGCGGACAGUGUCUGGUGGGUAGUUUGACUGGGGCGGUCUCCUCCUAAAGAGUAACGGAGGAGCACGAAGGUUGGCUAAUCCUGGUCGGACAUCAGGAGGUUAGUGCAAUGGCAUAAGCCAGCUUGACUGCGAGCGUGACGGCGCGAGCAGGUGCGAAAGCAGGUCAUAGUGAUCCGGUGGUUCUGAAUGGAAGGGCCAUCGCUCAACGGAUAAAAGGUACUCCGGGGAUAACAGGCUGAUACCGCCCAAGAGUUCAUAUCGACGGCGGUGUUUGGCACCUCGAUGUCGGCUCAUCACAUCCUGGGGCUGAAGUAGGUCCCAAGGGUAUGGCUGUUCGCCAUUUAAAGUGGUACGCGAGCUGGGUUUAGAACGUCGUGAGACAGUUCGGUCCCUAUCUGCCGUGGGCGCUGGAGAACUGAGGGGGGCUGCUCCUAGUACGAGAGGACCGGAGUGGACGCAUCACUGGUGUUCGGGUUGUCAUGCCAAUGGCACUGCCCGGUAGCUAAAUGCGGAAGAGAUAAGUGCUGAAAGCAUCUAAGCACGAAACUUGCCCCGAGAUGAGUUCUCCCUGACUCCUUGAGAGUCCUGAAGGAACGUUGAAGACGACGACGUUGAUAGGCCGGGUGUGUAAGCGCAGCGAUGCGUUGAGCUAACCGGUACUAAUGAACCGUGAGGCUUAACCUUACAACGCCGAAG
rnacentral:rRNA from 1 species